GUUGCUUCAUAUGGUGAACUCUUCCUUAAUUAGUGGAAGAAAUUCAAGUUUCCGAAGCAUAAAUUAAAUUUUGCCAGUAUUAAACAGCUCAAUGAAUUUUUUAAUUUCAUUGUGUUACCUGUCUCCUGGUAUAUUU